rnacentral:misc_RNA from 1 species
GAUGAAGAACGUAGCAAAAUGCGAUAAGUAAUGUGAAUUGCAGAAUUCAGUGAAUCAUCGAAUCUUUGAACGCACAUUGCGCCCGCUGGUAUUCCGGCGGGCAUGCCUGUUCGAGCGUCAUUUCAACCCUCAAGCCCCCGGGUUUGGUGUUGGGGAUCGGCUCUGCCUUACGGCGGUGCCGCCCCCGAAAUACUUUGGCGGUCUCGCUGCAGCCUCCAUUGCGUAGUAGCUAACACCUCGCAACUGGAACGCGGCGCGGCCAUGCCGUAAAACCCCAACUUCUGAAUGUUGACCUCGGAUCAGGUAGGAAUACCCGCUGAACUUAAGCAUAUCAAUAAGCGGAGGA